rnacentral:rRNA from 1 species
CCUACGGGUCGCACCAGUAGGGAAUCUUCCGCAAUGGACGAAAGUCUGACGGAGCAACGCCGCGUGAGUGAUGAAGGCUUUCGGGUCGUAAAACUCUGUUGUUAGGGAAGAACAAGUGCUAGUUGAAUAAGCUGGCACCUUGACGGUACCUACCAGAAAGCCACGGCUAACUACGUGCCAGCAGCCGCGGUAAUACGUAGGUGGCAAGCGUUAUCCGGAAUUAUUGGGCGUAAAGCGCGCGCAGGUGGUUUCUUAAGUCUGAUGUGAAAGCCCACGGCUCAACCGUGGAGGGUCAUUGGAAACUGGGAGACUUGAGUGCAGAAGAGGAAAGUGGAAUUCCAUGUGUAGCGGUGAAAUGCGUAGAGAUAUGGAGGAACACCAGUGGCGAAGGCGACUUUCUGGUCUGUAACUGACACUGAGGCGCGAAAGCGUGGGGAGCAAACAGGAUUAGAUACCCGGGUAGUC